AAAAGCAGGGGAUCGCAAGACCUCGCGCUAUUGGAGCGGCCGAUGUCCGAUUAGCUAGUUGGUGGGGUAAUGGCUCACCAAGGCGACGAUCGGUAGCUGGUCUGAGAGGAUGAUCAGCCACACUGGGACUGAGACACGGCCCAGACUCCUACGGGAGGCAGCAGUGGGGAAUUUUGGACAAUGGGCGCAAGCCUGAUCCAGCAAUGCCGCGUGAGUGAAGAAGGCCUUCGGGUUGUAAAGCUCUUUCAGUCGAGAAGAAAAGGCUACGGUAAAUAAUCGUAGUUCAUGACGGUACCGACAGAAGAAGCACCGGCUAACUACGUGCCAGCAGCCGCGGUAAUACGUAGGGUGCGAGCGUUAAUCGGAAUUACUGGGCGUAAAGGGUGCGCAGGCGGCUCUGUAAGUCAGAUGUGAAAUCCCCGGGCUUAACCUGGGAAUUGCGUUUGAAACUACAAAGCUAGA
rnacentral:rRNA from 1 species